ACUCAAAGGAAUUGACGGGGACCCGCACAAGCGGUGGAUGAUGUGGAUUAAUUCGAUGCAACGCGAAAAACCUUACCUACCCUUGACAUGUCAGGAAGUCCAAAGAGAUUUGGAUGUGCUCGCAAGAGAACCUGAACACAGGUGCUGCAUGGCUGUCGUCAGCUCGUGUCGUGAGAUGUUGGGUUAAGUCCCGCAACGAGCGCAACCCUUGUCACUAGUUGCUACGCAAGGGCACUCUAGUGAUACUGCCGGUGACAAACCGGAGGAAGGUGGGGAUGACGUCAAGUCCUCAUGGCCCUUAUGGGUAGGGCUUCACACGUCAUACAAUGGUCGGUACAGAGGGUUGCCAACCCGCGAGGGGGAGCUAAUCUCAGAAAGCCGAUCGUAGUCCGGAUCGCAGUCUGCAACUCGACUGCGUGAAGUCGGAAUCGCUAGUAAUCGCGGAUCAGCAUGUCGCGGUGAAUACGUUCCCGGGUCUUGUACACACCGCCCGU
rnacentral:rRNA from 1 species